GUGCUCGCUUCGGCAGCACAUAUACUAAAAUUGGAAUGAUACAGGGAUUAGCAUGGCCCCUUCACAAGGACAACAUGCAAAUUCGUGAAGCAUUCCAAAAUGCC